AACCUGGUUGAUCCUGCCAGUAGUCAUACGCUCGUCUCAAAGAUUAAGCCAUGCAUGUCUAAGUAUAAAAACUUUUUACACUUGAAACUGCGAAUGGCUCAUUAUAUCAGUUAUAGUUUAUUUGAUAGUCCCUUACUACUUGGAUACCUGUAGUAAUUCUAGAGCUAAUACAUGACUAAAUGCCUGAUCUCACGAAAAGGCAGUAUUUAUUAGAUAGAAACCAACCUAUUUCGGUAGUGUUUUGGUGAUUCACAAUAACUUUGCGAAUCGCAUGGCUUCGCCGGCGAUGGAUCAUUCAAGUUUCUGCCCUAUCAGCUCUGAUGGUAAUGUAUUGGAUUACCAUGGCUAUAACGGGUCACGGGAGAUUAGGGUUUGAUCCCGGAGAGGGGGCC
rnacentral:rRNA from 1 species